rnacentral:rRNA from 1 species
AAUAGAUACCCAGGUAGUCCACGCCGUAAACGAUGAGUGCUAAGUGUUAGAGGGUUUCCGCCCUUUAGUGCUGCAGCUAACGCAUUAAGCACUCCGCCUGGGGAGUACGGUCGCAAGACUGAAACUCAAAGGAAGUUGACGGGGGCCCGCACAAGCGGUGGAGCAUGUGGUUUAAUUCGAAGCAACGCGAAGAACCUUACCAGGUCUUGACAUCCCACUGACCGGUAUAGAGAUAUACCUUUCCCUUCGGGGACAGUGGUGACAGGUGGUGCAUGGUUGUCGUCAGCUCGUGUCGUGAGAUGUUGGGUUAAGUCCCGCAACGAGCGCAACCCUUGAUCUUAGUUGCCAGCAUUUAGUUGGGCACUCUAAGGUGACUGCCGGUGACAAACCGGAGGAAGGUGGGGAUGGACGGUCAAAUCAUCAUGCCCCUUAUGACCUGGGCUACACACGUGCUACAAUGGAUGGUACAAAGGGCUGCAAGACUGCGAAGUCAAGCCAAUCCCAUAAAAACCAUUCUCAGUUCGGAUUGCAGG